GCAUAUUAAGAGGCUAUUCAUCAUCAAUUUUUAAAAACAUAGCAACAUAUUUAAAGAAUUCAUCACAAAUAUAUAUCAUUUUGAGAAAAUAAAGAUAUAUCAAUGCUAUUGAAGAAUCAAUUAAUAACAUAUAUAGCAUUAGAAAAAUCAUUAUUACAUCCCUUUCAUCAACAUAUACACUGACUAUACCCAUACCAACCGCAUAAACAUAGCAUAGGUAAACAACAUCGUACCAC